UCCGCUUAGCUGCUACUUGCUUGCUAACAUCUUUGUGGUUUCCCUUUGUGUGCUAAUAAAAGCUGAAAUUUACUAUUGACAUCAUUAUGUUAAAAAAAAAAAAGCAUUAAAGAAGCAAGCAGCGCUAUAAAGCUACAACGAUUUAAAAUUGCUGUCGUGCAAAUUGAUCUUGUAUGUGCACGAAACUAAUUUAACGUGCUUUUGUUUUAUUCACGUCAGUGUGUUGUCGUGAAAGUGUGUCUAUGUCAGAUCGCUGAAGGAUGCCCCAGUGUAUGGAGUGCCCUGUAUAUGAGGUGUGUAUAGGACACAGAGUGGAUAGGUGCUGCUUGUACAGUCAGACAAGUGACCUUGGCCGGAGCGGUGUGUGUGCGCAUCACAAAUGGGAGACUGGUAGCUUUUGUCUGAUAUUCUCUGGCUUCAGCAUCCAGAUGUUUCGUAUCAUGUAUUUCUUUACUGGUACUGAGUUCUCUUGGAGAUGCUUAUGAAGCAAAGACACAAUCCUCUUCCCAUUCCUGUUUCAGAAGACUCUGCAGAACAUCCAUUGUACCGUAAUAAUGUGACAGUCAUUAUAAACGCAGCUGGUAUCACGAGUUUUAGUUGAUCACAAAGUCAGAAGGCUGCCAGGCUUGCUGAAACAGCAGCAAUGCUCUGUUUUGAUGUGUUUGAAUGGAAUAUGGAGAGGUUUGUGUCUGGAAACCUCCAGAAGGACAAUUUAGCCCGUUCAGGUAAAAUGGAUU